rnacentral:rRNA from 1 species
GACGAACGCUGGCGGCGUGCCUAAUACAUGCAAGUAGAACGCUGAAGGAGGAGCUUGCUUCUCUGGAUGAGUUGCGAACGGGUGAGUAACGCGUAGGUAACCUGCCUGGUAGCGGGGGAUAACUAUUGGAAACGAUAGCUAAUACCGCAUAAUAGUAGAUGUUGCAUGACAUUUGCUUAAAAGGUGCAAUUGCAUCACUACCAGAUGGACCUGCGUUGUAUUAGCUAGUUGGUGGGGUAACGGCUCACCAAGGCGACGAUACAUAGCCGACCUGAGAGGGUGAUCGGCCACACUGGGACUGAGACACGGCCCAGACUCCUACGGGAGGCAGCAGUAGGGAAUCUUCGGCAAUGGACGGAAGUCUGACCGGGCAACGCCGCGUGAGUGAAGAAGGUUUUCGGAUCGUAAAGCUCUGUUGUAAGAGAAGAACGAGUGUGAGAGUGGAAAGUUCACACUGUGACGGUAUCUUACCAGAAAGGGACGGCUAACUACGUG